rnacentral:lncRNA from 1 species
GGCUCCUGCUCGGACAAGGGCAGCAGAGGCUACCCCCACCGUCGCAUCCAUCUUCGCCGUCCACAACCACCGCCGGACUCACGGGGAAGAGCCGAGCGUCGCCGCUCCCGUCGUUCGUCUUGCUGGAAUCGCGGUGGAGGCCGAGCCUUGCCUCGCCGGGAAGGUAGGCUCCAGAUCUGAGCUCCCCCUCUUUUUCUCUUUUCCGGCCGACCAGGAACAGCUCGGUGCUCCCGCUGCCGUGUCGCCGCUGCCGAUGCCGCCGCAUCGUCGUCACCGGAGAAGAUAAGUUCUCCCUCCUAUCUCUCUCUCUCCCUCCCCUGUUCUACCUUCUCUUCUCUCUCUCUUUUUCUUUUUUUUUUUUUUUUU